rnacentral:lncRNA from 1 species
CAAUAAAUAUGGGUGCAAUGGGGCCCUGAGCCAUUUAUGUACCUUGUGCCCUCUGGUAUUACUUGGCUUCAGUUCUGAUUGAUGCCGAGUCUCGCCAAAUUUGAUCUAGUGGGUCUAACUGGCCUCUGGCACAUGAGAUUCCAGAUGUGCAGCCACUGGAGACCACUAGGUAAAGACUCCCAUUCUACCAGGGUGUACCGUAGGACAGAAACGAUUCCUUAGAAGACCUAAUUUUAUGCUGCAGGUGGUGUGGCCUUGCUAUUAAACUCCAAGGGACUGAUUCUCACUGGAGCCUGAAAUUCCAUACUGAAUCUUUGGAAUCUUUGCCUGCUACUGAUGCUGCUUUAGCUCAUGUCCAUUUUAACUGCUUUUAUGAUUUAGCAUCAUAUCACCAAAACGCAAGCCACAGUGAUGUCCUGAAGAAUGUUGAUCUGCACUCCUACAGACGGUUGCAGAGUAGGAAAGAAGCCCAUGAGUCAAUUUGAGUUAACUGCUCGGCAUGUCUAUCUGGACGCUUCACUCAGGGGACUUGGAGAAAAACACAAGAUGGACCCAUGGAAAGGUACUAACACCCCUCAUUUCCAUGCUGAGUUUGCACAUGUGCCGAGUUUCAGAGACGACCUGGAGAGCAGAAGGCACAGAAGCGUGGUUUGCUCACGCGAGGCCACUGCAACCCUAGCUUGGACCUGUCCAGUGCAUUUGCAGCUGAAAUUAGUGGUGAGUCGGGCAGGGGACUUGGGAUUCAAAGUGCCUGCUACAACUGAGGAAAAGAGAAGUGAUAAUGCAGCUGACUGCUCACCAUUGCUAGGCCCUCCAUUUAUGUCAGGGAACCUUCCUCAAGGAAAGAAGAAUCUUCAGCUCCCUUCUUCCACACAUCUAGAGGCUGCCUCUAAGUCCAUGCAUGCAGCAUUACCUUUCCCAUAUAUCCCACUUAUACAAGCAUAGGCACUGACCAGGGAUCUGGGGCAUUCUAUGCCCCCAUCUGAAUUGGAAAACUCAGGCCAGGAGUUGAGGUACAAGCAUGAACAUAAGCCCACUGUCCUGUUAUAUCAAUUGGCCACUGGGACAAGGGACAGGUGAGGCUGAAGGGGCCCUAAUAUGGGUUGUCAUA